rnacentral:rRNA from 1 species
UACGUGGGGUGCGAGCGUUGUCCGGAAUUAUUGGGCGUAAAGGGCUCGUAGGCGGUUUGUCGCGUCGGGAGUGAAAUCCACUGGCUUAACUGGUGGCUUGCUUUCGAUACGGGCAGACUGGAGGUAUGCAGGGGAGAACGGAAUUCCUGGUGUAGCGGUGAAAUGCGCAGAUAUCAGGAGGAACACCUAUUGCGAAGGCAGCUCGCUGGGACGUAACUGACGCUGAGACGCGAAAGCGUGGGGAGCAAACAGG